UACAGAGACUGCAAGCGUUAUUCGGAUUCACUGGGCGUAAAGGGUGCGCAGGCGGCCAAGUGUGUGAGGCGUGAAAGCCCGGGGCUUAACCCCGGAAUUGCACCUCAAACUACAUGGCUAGAGCAUUGGAGAGGGUAGCAGAAUUCACGGUGUAGCAGUGAAAUGCGUAGAUAUCGAGAGGAACACCAGUGGCGAAGGCGAGUCCCUGGACAACUCCUGACGCUGAGGCACGAAAGCUAGGGGAGCAAACAGG
rnacentral:rRNA from 1 species